GCGAAUUAAUCGACAGUCUCGGUUGGCAAUAGAAGGCUUUGUUUCAGUACAGAUGUAGAUCCUGGGUGCUCAAUGGGCUUCGAACGGACCGAGGUAGUUCGACCGUUGAUGGAAAGACAGGAUUCCUGCCACGCUUUCUUCCUGCUAGGCGUUUCCCCUCGACGCAUCGCGUCGAUCGUGGACGCGGACUGCGGAGGUUCACGUGCGAGGGAGCUCGAUCACGCGAUCGUGUGAGUCCGCCACGAGCUCGGGAUCCAUUGAUGCCAAUGACAGUGAGGACUCUUUUAAGGUUCCAUUUUACGUGGAAAAAGUUUCGACGACAUCGCUCCAUGGGUAACAGUAUUAAAAAUUGUCGCAGAUGGAUCGUCACCAACGAGAACAGAAUUAGCGAUUUCCGGCUACACCGGAGAAAUAAAACUCUAAUAAUUUUCGUACACCUUUGUACUUUUUAUUUCCUCUUGCAACUUUUUUGUAGGACUCCUUUAAGACCGUACUUCGUGUGAAAAAAAUUACAACAACGACGUCUCGUCGAUAAGGUGUUUAAAAAUUCUCAAAGCAGAGAUGAUCCCUAACGAAAACGCAAUUAAGUCUCGGUUUUCAAUGGACGACGUGGAAAGUAAACAGCUCCGAGACUGGGCACGGUUCCGCUGGGAAAUGCUGCGCAGGUCUACGCGGGACUAGGAACAAAUAUUACCCCUUGAUUAAGCCAAUCAUAUGUUCUAAAUUCCUCGAGUUCUGCCGCUGGAUUAUGCAAUGCAACUUUCUUUCGGAGAAAGAAUUCACCUGUUCCUGCGUUGCGGUUACAUGCACGCCUCUAUCAGAAGGAUCGCAGUGAAUUAUGGGAUUCCGCCGCGUAGCCUAUCGAAUUCAUCAGCUCGGCUAUGCCAAACGAAAUAGUGUCAAAAUUAUUUUAACGCUGUUUGAAGGUUUGAGGUUAUGUUACGGUAGAGCUUUGUG